AAGCACCAAGGGAAGCAUGGAGUAUUCUCCCACAGCAGGACCCAAAGGUGGAACUCUUCCAAUUCCUGCUAUUAACAGCUGUUUCCAUUUCAACAACAGUGAUGUUUUACCCUGGAAAACUAUUAAACUGUUUCACCCAGUCUGCUAG
rnacentral:lncRNA from 1 species